UAGUUGGUGAGGUAAUGGCUCACCAAGGCAAUGACGCCUAACUGGUUUGAGAGGAUGAUCAGUCACACUGGAACUGAGACACGGUCCAGACUCCUACGGGAGGCAGCAGUGGGGAAUAUUGCACAAUGGAGGAAACUCUGAUGCAGCAACGCCGCGUGGAGGAUGACACUUUUCGGAGCGUAAACUCCUUUUAUAUAGGAAGAUAAUGACGGUACUAUAUGAAUAAGCACCGGCUAACUCCGUGCCAGCAGCCGCGGUAAUACGGAGGGUGCAAGCGUUACUCGGAAUCACUGGGCGUAAAGAGCGUGUAGGCGGGUUAAUAAGUUGGAAGUGAAAUCCUAUAGCUCAACUAUAGAACUGCUUUCAAAACUGUUAACCUAGAAUAUGGGAGAGGUAGAUGGAAUUUCUGGUGUAGGGGUAAAAUCCGUAGAGAUCAGAAGGAAUACCGAUUGCGAAGGCGAUCUACUGGAACAUUAUUGACGCUGAGACGCGAAAGCGUGGGGAGCAAACAGGAUUAGAUACCCUGGUAGUCCACGCCCUAAACGAUGUACACUAGUUGUUGCGAUGCUAGACAUUGCAGUAAUGCAGUUAACACAUUAAGUGUACCGCCUGGGGAGUACGGUCGCAAGAUUAAAACUCAAAGGAAUAGACGGGGACCCGCACAAGCGGUGGAGCAUGUGGUUUAAUUCGACGAUACGCGAAGAACCUUACCUGGACUUGACAUUUACAGAAUUUUUCAGAGAUGAAUUAGUGUCUGCUUGCAGAAACUGUAGGACAGGUGCUGCACGGCUGUCGUCAGCUCGUGUCGUGAGAUGUUGGGUUAAGUCCCGCAACGAGCGCAACCCACGUCGUUAGUUGCUAACAGUUCGGCUGAGAACUCUGACGAGACUGCCUGGGCAACCAGGAGGAAGGUGUGGACGACGUCAAGUCAUCAUGGCCCUUACGUCCAGGGCUACACACGUGCUACAAUGGGGCAUACAAAGAGCAGCGAUACCGCGAGGUGGAGCAAAUCUCAAAAAUGCCUCCCAGUUCGGAUAGUAGUCUGCAACUCGACUACUUGAAGUUGGAAUCGCUAGUAAUCGUAGAUCAGCAAUGCUACGGUGAAUACGUUCCCGGGUCUUGUACUCACCGCCCGUCACACCAUGGGAGUUGAACUCAUUCGAAGCGGGGAUGCUAAGAUAGCUACCCUCCACAGUGGAUUCAGCGACUGGGGUG
rnacentral:rRNA from 1 species